ensembl:lincRNA
AUGUGCAAAGUCCCUGCUCUGGCUUCUACCCCCUCAACGACUUCGCAGGACAGCGGGGGCCUAGGCCGUCCUGCGCGUGAUUCUGGAAGCCGGGGCCUCGCUCCUCCUUGGGGUGGGGCUUCCUCUUCACCGACGGACUUAAGCCGAGGCCUAGCGCCUCAGUACUGGAGUGCAGAGCUCAAUUCUGAGCACAUUGUCUUCUCCACGGCCUGCGCUCACUGCCAGGAAUUGGAACGAGCGGGAACAUCGGUCUUUUUGUUUUCUCAUCCGCCCGACAUUUCCAGGGCCUAUUCUAGGCCUUUCCUAAUGGAGGUGCAGGGGUGUUGCUAGGAAGUGGUAGAAGUGGGAGCGAGAAAUUAGCUUGGUCAAGCCGUCGCCUUGAGUUUGAGAAAAUUGGACAUGUUGUAUAUCCUGUUGCCACGGAGCGCUUUUAUUUAUUCAUAUAUGUAUAUUUAUAUAUAUAUUUUAUUAGUUCAAGUUAGGGAACAAGCGUGUUUCACAUGUAAGUCCCUUCUCCCUCUCCCUCCCCUCACCCCUCCCUCCUCCUCCUCCUCAUUUAUAUUUUUUUUUAUCAUUUUUUAAAUUUGAAUUAGAAACAGGAUUGUUUUACCUUACAAUCCCAGUUCCCUUCUCCCUCCCGUCCUCUCCUAAUACCCCCAAUUAAAACUCUACCUAUCACAUACCCUUUCUUCUAUUCUUCCCCUGACUCAACCUUUCUGCUCCCUCAUGACCUUCCCUUCUCAUUCUCAUAGCCCUCUCCCCCCUCUUCCUGUGCUCUCAAUUUGCACAGGGGAUCUUGACCCUCUCCCCUUCUCCAGGGAACCAUGUAUGUCCCCACAGAGCGCUUUUAAAAGUGAAAAUACCGGAACCUUCACAUCACCGAACCUUUUAUUUAUUUAUUUAUUUAUUUUUGAGAUAGGGUUUCUCUGUGUAGCUUUGGACCCUGCCCUGUUCUGGAACUUUCUCUGUAGACCAGGCUGGCCUUGUGAACGCAGACAACCACCUGCCUCUGCCUCUGGAAUGCUAUGAAAAAAGGUGUGCCCACCACUGCCUGGCCCAGUUUUUUUUUUGUUUUUGUUUUUGUUUUUUUUUUUUUUUUUUUUUUUUUUUUUUUUUUUUUUUUUAUUAACUUGCCAAAGUUAGUAAAAUACUAACAAUACUAACAGGUGGCUGGGGAGUGGUUGUGCACGCCUUUAUUCUCAGCACUCCGGAGGCAGAGGCUGGCGGAUCUCUUGAGUUCGAGGCCAGCUUGGUCUAUAGAGCAAGUACUGGGACAGCCAGGACUACACAGAGAAACCCUGCCUCAAAAAACCAGAAAGGGGAAAAAAAAAAAAGACCAAUGGGUAUAGAUUGAAGGUAUAAUUGGCAUGUGCCACACACACACCUUUAGUUUUUCCAAGAAGAAAUGAAGAUAAUGGAAUAUUAGUAAUUUCAUCAGAUGCCUCUUCAGCAAGCUGAGCUGUCUAGCUACCAUGACAAGGUAUCUCAUGCCUGUAAAACCAGUGCUGGGAAGGAAAAGGCAGGGAGAUCAUGAAUUCAAGGUCAUUCUUGGCUACAGAGAAUUUAAGACUCCUCCUGGGCUGCAUGAUACUGUAUCUGAAAAAACAAAAGCCCCACUAUUCAAGGUCUCUCCUCCAUUAACUUCUGUGUGUGCAUGGUAAGGGCUUCAGAUAAAUGACCCAGGUUUGUGGGGUAGACCUCUAUAUGGACAAAAAGAUGCAGUGAGAUAUUCAGUUUAUUAGUUUCUCUCUCUCUCUCUCUCUCUCUCUCUCUCUCUCUCUCUCUCUCUCUGUCUCUCUCUCACACAAAACAAUCAUACAAAAUGGCUAGAAGUUUCAGGGAGGAGCCAGAAAUUCCAAGUACUAGCUCAGUGGGGAGUAGCAAUUAGCUAGGCAAGUGUGAAGUUUGGAGAAAGAAAAUGUGCAGAGACCUGGAGUCAAGUUGUGCUUGGUUCACAGAGUCUGAAAUGAAAAGGUGGGGAAAUGAGGAAUGUGGGAGCCAGGUUUUAGAAGAGUCUGGACUUUAAUCUGGGGAGAAUUGCUGAACAGUAUGAGCCAAGGAGUCACAUGAUUGGAUUUGGUGAAUGGAUUUUGAACAAGUCUUAAUUUAAAAGUAGUACCUGGUUUAGGCAAGGGAUGGUAGAGGUCACAGCUAGGGCAGAGAGAGUGGAGGCUGAUGUAAACACACUAUAAAAGGUUGAUAUCCCAGCUUCAGGAAAUGUAUAUAUUUAUUUUAUAUUUUUUACUUCUGGUGUUUUUGAGACACGGUCUUAGUAUGUAGUAUAGUGUUACCAAGAACUUGUGGGGAUCCUCUUGCCUUACUUAGCCCCAGAUGUGCAUAAUCACACCUAACUCAGGAAGUACAUAUUUUUAGAGAGGUUUGGGGCUUGUAUGUUUAUUAUUAUUUAUUUUGUUUUGUGUCAGUCCAUUUCUUACACCACCCCCUGCCUCUGCCUGCCUCUGUCUCCCGACCGCCGGAUUCUCACAGGAUUUGUUUGUUUGUUUGCAUUUCAAAAUAGGAUUUCUCUGUGUAUCUCUGACUCUCCUGGAACACACAGAGAUCUACCUGCCUCUGGCUCCUAAGUGCUGAGAUUAAAGGCAGACACUACCAUUGUUGGGCAGUGACUUAACAGGAUGCAGCAAACAGAACAAAUCUGGGCCAAUAUCAUAUAUUUAGGAUGAUUUUCAAGCAGGGAUUUUACAAGUGUGGAAGAUUAAAUCCACCUUAGAUGACUUAUUUUUAAAAAUAUUUUAUUACUCUGUAAGUGGGUGUGGAGGUCAGAGGGUAACUUCAGGGCAUUGAUUCUUUCCUUCUACUAUGGAUGGAUACUGAGGAUUGAUCUCAGGUUGUCAGGACUGCCCAUUAGAUUUUUUUUUUUUUUUUUUUUUUUUUGGUUUUUCGAGACAGGGUUUCUCUGUGUAGCUUUGGAGCCUAUCCUGGCACUUGCUCUGGAGACCAGGCUGGCCUCGAACUCACAGAGAUCCACCCGCCUCUGCCUCCCGAGUCUAAUGGACGCCUGGCGUCCAUUAGAUAACUUUAAAGACUUCCAUGAACAGUAAAUACUUGGAGCAUAUUGUCUGGUUUGGGCUUUGGGUUUCUGGUGAAUUAGCUUGUACAGAAAGAAGAGAAUGAGUCAGGCACUGUUGGUAAUGCUUUAGAUGUAGUGUCUCUUGACAUAAUGGAGCUGACAGCAAACUCAGGUUUGUGCAGCUCUAAUCCUAGACUAUUCUGCACUCUGGGGCACCUGUGGCAUUGGUGGGGGGCGGGGCAGAGGGAAGGUCCUCAAUGUCAGGAGACACUUUGUUUUGUCUUGUCAGCACCUCUACUGGGCUAUGCUGGAAAGCCGUUGGUGCCUAAAGCAGAUUAAUAGAAAAAUCAAAAGCCAGCGGAGGAUGAUUUUCUGUCCUGACGGAAAUCUGCUUCUGCUGUGGACCUUCCGUUACUUUCUCGGAAGUUCUAGUCUUUAUAGAACUUUGUUCUUUGUGCCUUUUAUCCCACUCCUUUGUUUUUUAGUUGGCCUUUCCAUUUCCUUCUCGAAAAUUCUUAUUCUUUAUAGAACUUUGUUCUUCCUGCCUUUUAUCCUGCUCCUUUGGUUUUUAGUUUCACCUGCAAAAGGAAUGAAGAAGCAAUAUUAAGGUCUUUGUUCAGUCUCCACCCUUGCAAUUUCAGAACCUUCUCAUGUGCUCGAUGGAGACACCUGGGGGAAGUAAACAGGUUAUUGUUUAAUAUUAAGCCCCUGUAGGAACUCAACCAUAGAGCUGCUUGCUUGAUCCCUAGGAAGUCUGUGGUUACAAAGAUCAUUGCACUUGGUAGUUUGGUUUGCUGCCUGGAUUGACUGGUCUUGUAGUUUUAACAGAAAAAAUGGCUUUUACAUUCAAGCUUUGCUAGGCUAUAAAAUUCUUUCAGUCAGAAAUACUAGGAAGACAAUUUUGGUGUGUCCGUUUAAUCACAACUUGUAUUAUUACCUGCCUUCCGUUACAUCUUUCAAAACUUGGGAACAAAGUUCAUAUUUAUAAAGAUGUUAAUGGCAGGUAGAUCAGUCCCAGGAGCGUAUUUAUGGUACUGAUAAGAUAAAGGGGAAAGGGCCCGGUGGUGGUGGUGGUGGUGGUGGUGGCGGCGGCGCCUUUAGUCCCAGCACUAGGGAGGCAGAGGCAGGUGGAUCUCUGUGAGUUCGAG